UGACGUAGACCUCUGAGCUCAGUUUAAAUUCUAAUUAGAAGAGUAUCCGUUAAGAGGUACUUACUUAGAUGCAGCCUGUGGCUGCCAGUUCGAGAGGCUGAGUCCGAUCACACCCCACCCCACCCUUCUUCAGGCUCCCCCGACUCGGCUCCCUCUCUGACCUUCUCCCUUCUUCUGGACUGCUCCGUAUCCUCCGGACCGCAGGUCAGUCAGUCUGAGCGGCUUCCCUGGCUAAGGGGGGCCCGGCACGAGAGCCCGGCCCCUGCGCGAGCCGCCCGAAGGAGGGAGGAAGGAAGGAGGGAGGGGAAGAAAGAAGGAAGGAGGGAGCGAUGGGUUCCCAGGCCCCGCGACCUUCGAUGUCCACACUCUGCCCCUGCCAGGCAGGACCAUGAAGCCAGUUCGCCGCAAAUCCACCCCAAAGAAGCGCCCCUCGAACCAAUCUCAGCCCCGCGCCUCCACCUCCGCCUCCACUUCCACCACCACCAUCCCCACAGGCACCACGCGCCGGCGACGCUACCCGGGUGGAACCAGUCAGCGAAUUCUUAGGGAGAUCCACAAGUUACAGAAAAGCACAAAUCUGCUGAUCAGGAAGGCACCCUUUGGUCGACUAGUUAGAGAAAUAUGUCUCCGGUUUACUCGAGGGGUGGAUUAUUAUUGGCAAGCUAAUGCUCUACUGGCCCUACAGGAGGAAUGGCAGAUAGUGUUGAUUUGAUUAAAGCAGUCUGAGAGGGGGAACAGCAUGGCACCAAGAAGGCCAGAGAGCAAUGUGCUUCCUAACAGAAUUCUCUCCUGGAUCUCCUGGGAAGCAGAAAGAAAUCUGAGUGGCAAGAAGUAGAAGCACCUACUGGGAGGGGAGGAGAGCUGCCAUGGAGCAGUGGAAGACGUGGCAGGACAGAGGCACUUGAUGGGCAGUAGUGGCAGGUGACACCUGAGUAAUGCAGGAUUGCUGCAGAAGACAAACACUGUGACAGAGCAGCCCUGGAAGGCUGCACUGAUGGGAGCCCUAUGCAGGGCACAGAGACUGAGAAAAGAGUAGUCACUGGAAGGAUAUUUUUUUCCCAAGAACUCAGAUUCAAGGCCCAUCUGAUUCCAUUAAUUUUUAAAUAAAACCAUUCCUCUUUUGAA